rnacentral:rRNA from 1 species
GAUGAACGCUGGCGGCGUGCCUAAUACAUGCAAGUCGAGCGAACGGACGAGAAGCUUGCUUCUCUGAUGUUAGCGGCGGACGGGUGAGUAACACGUGGAUAACCUACCUAUAAGACUGGGAUAACUUCGGGAAACCGGAGCUAAUACCGGAUAAUAUUUUGAACCGCAUGGUUCAAAAGUGAAAGACGGUCUUGCUGUCACUUAUAGAUGGAUCCGCGCUGCAUUAGCUAGUUGGUAAGGUAACGGCUUACCAAGGCAACGAUGCAUAGCCGACCUGAGAGGGUGAUCGGCCACACUGGAACUGAGACACGGUCCAGACUCCUACGGGAGGCAGCAGUAGGGAAUCUUCCGCAAUGGGCGAAAGCCUGACGGAGCAACGCCACGUGAGUGAUGAAGGUCUUCGGAUCGUAAAACUCUGUUAUUAGGGAAGAACAUAUGUGCAAGUAACUGUGCACAUCUUGACGGUACCUAAUCAGAAAGCCACGGCUAACUACGUG